GGAAUAUUGGACAAUGGGCGGGAGCCUGAUCCAGCCAUGCCGCGUGCAGGAAGACUGCCCUAUGGGUUGUAAACUGCUUUUGUACAGGAAGAAACACUCCCUCGUGAGGGAGCUUGACGGUACUGUAAGAAUAAGGAUCGGCUAACUCCGUGCCAGCAGCCGCGGUAAUACGGAGGAUCCAAGCGUUAUCCGGAAUCAUUGGGUUUAAAGGGUCCGUAGGUGGAUGAUUAAGUCAGAGGUGAAAUCCUGCAGCUCAACUGUAGAAUUGCCUUUGAUACUGGUUGUCUUGAAUUAUUGUGAAGUAGUUAGAAUAUGUGGUGUAGCGGUGAAAUGCAUAGAUAUCACAUAGAAUACCGAUUGCGAAGGCAGAUUACUAACAAUACAUUGACACUGAUGGACGAAAGCGUGGGGAGCGAACAGGAUUAGAAACCCCGGUAGUCC
rnacentral:rRNA from 1 species